rnacentral:lncRNA from 1 species
UCACAGUGAAAAAAAUCAAAGUUGAAGAAGCUCCUCAAUCAAUAUGCUUCACGAGAUUCAGAUGUGCGGAUCCUCUACUUCGCAUGCACGUCAAAUGCUGUAAGAGAAAGGGAUGAACUCUUUCAUCAGAGAGAAAGGAGAAGAACACUUGAGAUCUAAUCUCAAGCCCUUAGAACAGCCCACAUGCCACCACAAAGGGAGAGAGGAUGCC